UUGCCAGCCCGCUCAGAACUUAAAGGAAUUGACGGGGCCCGCACAAGCGGUGGAGCAUGUGGUUAAUUCGAUGAUACGCGAGGAACCUUACCUGGGCUCAAAUGUAUGUUGACGUAUUCUGAAAGGGAUACUUCUUCGGACAAUAUACAAGGUGCUGCAUGGUUGUCGUCAGCUCGUGCCGUGAGGUGUCGGGUUAAGUCCCAUAACGAGCGCAACCCUAUCAUUAGUUGCCAUCAGGUCAAGCUGGGGACUCUAAUGAAACUGCCUACGCAAGUAGUGAGGAAGGUGGGGAUGACGUCAAAUCAGCACGGCCCUUACGUCCAGGGCUACACACGUGCUACAAUGGCCGGUACAAAGGGCAGCUACCUGGUGACAGGAUGCUAAUCUCAAAAGCCGGUCUCAGUUCGGAUCGGAGUCUGCAACCCGACUCCGUGAAGCCGGAAUCGCUAGUAAUCGCGCAUCAGCCAUGGCGCGGUGAAUACGUUCCCGGGCCUU
rnacentral:rRNA from 1 species